rnacentral:rRNA from 1 species
GCGUAUUAGCCAACCUAUUGAAAACCUUGACAAAAACAAGCCCGAUCUCAUCUGAUCUCGGAAGCUAAGCAGAGUCAGGCCUGGUUAGUACUUGGAUGCGAGACCACCUAGGAAGACCAGGUGCUGUAGGCG